rnacentral:sRNA from 1 species
AAUGAAACCAUUUUAUUCACUGACCACAUUUCCCAGUGAUGACAGCAACUCGCCUCCAGAAGAGAACCCAUUUCUCUGAUGCUAUCUUCCCUGCAGCUGCUGCGUGGAUGUGCUGGGUGCUGAGCAAGCUGGAGCUCAGGCUCUCAUACAUUUUGGCCCUGCCUGCUUAAGCCCUCCAGCCCGCCCACUGCCCGUUGCCUUCGUGCUUCGUCAACGUUCUGUGGCCUUGGAGCUCUGUGUCAAGGCCUUUGAGGCCCAGAACCCAGACCCCAAAGCGCCUGUGGUGCUGCUGAGUGAGCCGGCCUGUGCCCAUGCCCUGGAGGCUUUGGCUACUCUCCUGCGCCCGCGGUACCUGGACCUGCUAGUCUCCAGCCCAGCUUUUCCCCUACCAGUGGGUUCCCUGAGUCCAGAGCCUAUGCCCCUAGAGCGUUUUGGGCGCCGCUUCCCCCUUGCCCCAGGGAGGCGUCUAGAAGAGUAUGGUGCCUUCUAUGUAGGGGGCUCUAAGGCCAGCCCUGACCCGGACCUUGACCCAGACCUGAGUCGGCUGCUCUUGGGGUG